rnacentral:ncRNA from 1 species
AUGAGUGCCUGUCCACCCCACACAUUUCGCCGCUGCACCGAAUCCGACGGCCGCUUUGCCGGUUCUGUCGGAGCCAUCAGGCGCAACGUGAGUUUUGAAGGCGAGCCGCUUGCCCCGUACACCGGGGCGGCGGCUUUUUUA